rnacentral:snRNA from 1 species
GCUUGCUUUGGCAGUCCAUACACUAAAGUUGGGAUGCUACAGAGAAGAUUAGCAUGACCCCUGCGCAAGGAUGACAUGCACAUUCAUGAAGUGUUCCGUAUUUCU